rnacentral:lncRNA from 1 species
UUCAAAGAUCAAACACCCACUUUUUUUUCUUUUCUUCUUUUUUUUUUUCAAAAUUUCUGCAACUUUUUUUUUAACUUGACACAGAACUCAAACAGAUUUUUUUUUGACACAAAGUCUGAAAGAAACAAGAAACAAGAAACAAGAACAAGAACAAAAACGUGACAAGAACAAGAACAAGAAUGAAACAAAGACACAAACAAGAACACAACAAGACGCAAACAAGAAAACAAAUAACAGAACAAGGACAAAAGACUAGAACGCAACAAGACCCAAACAAGAAUGAAACAAGACGCAAACAAGAACGCAAAUAACAAAACAAGGACAAAACACGAACCUGGACAAAUUACAAAGAAAAAAAAUAGGAUAAGAUAGAACCUGUAUCAAGACCUGAAGCUCUGAUACCAGAUGAUGUGAUCCUUAUGGGGCGGAUCGCUUGAUACAGGCUACGGAGAUUUUGGAUGAUGCCACUUCCAGUGAAUGAAGAUAAGUCAGGGUAGACGCCACAAGGAUUACCUUGAUAAGUCUGAGAUUGGUUCAACAAGGAACCCAGAGAGAAGCUCUCACCAAAUUUUAUGAAAAUGCCAAAAGUUCCUUUAUUGAAAACAAAAACCAAUACUUAUAGUGUAUCUGAACAAAAAGAUAAAAAUAGACAUGGACCUUUAAAACAGUUUGGGUCAAAAAAAUUAUAAAUAAAAAAAUUAAAACAUAUUUAUUAUGGGCCUUCAAAUUAAUUUUGGCCUUCAGCAACAAUUAAUAGUCUUGAUACUAUCUCUGCCUCUGGGCCUUCAUCCUUCUCCACUUGGGGGCUUUGUCCUUCUCCACUUGGGCCUUUAGCCUGCAUUUGGCCAGUUUCAGGAUUCUCAUCACGCGAGAAAGGACAAACGACUCGUUGAGCGAGCUGACGGCACGCUGAGCGCGAACAUCUAAGACAGAUCCUCUUCUAGGGUUUCCCCACGCGCUAAGCGGAUUGAGUGCCUCGCUUAGUGGAUGUCACUCGCUAAGCGCAUAUCCCUUGCUUAGCGAGACAUCAGCUACUAGACCUUCUCUUCAU